UGCAAAACCAGUGAACCACUCAUGGACAGCUGUUUCGUUGUUAAUGCAACUCUUCAGCAUGAGGUUGGUUACUGGUUUGCUUGUUGAGGCUUGGUAGUGCUUGGGAAGCAAAAUCUAAAUAGGUUAUGGUGGGGAAAAAUUGUGAUUGAAAACCCCUUCCACCUGAAGUAUGUGGAUAAUUAAUACAAUGCUAAACAAAAAUCUGCACACCAGUCAAGCCAUAAGACUUGCUUUUCCCACAGAAAUCCCAAAUCAGCAGUGAUGUUACAACCGCAAAGGAUUCUGGGUGGGCAUAUGCAAAUUAGUUUAACAA